rnacentral:tRNA from 1 species
UGGCCGGUUAGCACAAUUGGUAGUGUGUCUGACUACGAUUCAAUCGGGAAUCAGGAGGUUGCGGGUUCGAGCCCCGUGCUGGUCAU